rnacentral:tRNA from 1 species
AUUUAGGUAGCUUAUAAUAAGAGCAUAACACUGAAGAUGUUAGGGAAAUAUUUAUUAUUCUUGAAUA